UACAGAGGUGGCAAGCGUUGUUCGGAUUUAUUGGGCGUAAAGGGUCCGUAGGCGGUUCGGAAAGUUGGAUGUGAAAUCCUACAGCUUAACUGUAGAACUGCAUUCAAAACUUCCGGACUAGAGUGUGGAAGGGGUGAAGGGAAUUCCCGGUGUAAGGGUGAAAUCUGCAGAGAUCGGGAGGAACACCAGUCGCGAAGGCGCUUCACUGGUCCACUACUGACGCUCAGGGACGAAAGCAAGGGUAGCAAACGGG
rnacentral:rRNA from 1 species